UGUUACCUACGGGGGGCAGCAGUGAGGAAUAUUGGUCAAUGGUCGGGAGACUGAACCAGCCAAGCCGCGUGGGGGAGGAAGGUACAGAGUAUCGUAAACCUCUUUUGUCAGGGAACAAAGGCGGGGACGUGUCCCCGGAUGAGUGUACCUGAAGAAAAAGCAUCGGCUAACUCCGUGCCAGCAGCCGCGGUAAUACGGAGGAUCCGAGCGUUAUCCGGAUUUAUUGGGUUUAAAGGGAGCGUAGGUGGAUUGUUAAGUCAGUUGUGAAAGUUUGCGGCUCAACCGUAAAAUUGCAGUUGAAACUG
rnacentral:rRNA from 1 species